CGUGGGUAACCUGCCCAAGAGAUCGGGAUAACACCUGGAAACAGAUGCUAAUACCGGAUAACAACAGAUGAUGCCUAUCAACUGUUUAAAAGAUGGUUCUGCUAUCACUCUUGGAUGGACCUGCGGUGCAUUAGCUAGUUGGUAGGGUAACGGCCUACCAAGGCGAUGAUGCAUAGCCGAGUUGAGAGACUGAUCGGCCACAUUGGGACUGAGACACGGCCCAAACUCCUACGGGAGGCGGCAGCG
rnacentral:rRNA from 1 species